rnacentral:misc_RNA from 1 species
UUAUUUGUUAUAGGUUACUACGUUCGUGACGUUCAAUGUUUGUAAAGGCCCGAGGGCCACGGUUCACAGAGGUUGGUCGGAUAAGCCCCGAGGGGCGUUCACUAAUGAUCCUUCCGCAGGUUCACCUACGGAAA